GACGAACGCUGGCGGCGUGCUUAACACAUGCAAGUCGAACGGAAAGGCCCUGCUUUUGUGGGGUGCUCGAGUGGCGAACGGGUGAGUAACACGUGAGUAACCUGCCCUUGACUUUGGGAUAACUUCAGGAAACUGGGGCUAAUACCGGAUAGGAGCUCCUGCUGCAUGGUGGGGGUUGGAAAGUUUCGGCGGUUGGGGAUGGACUCGCGGCUUAUCAGCUUGUUGGUGGGGUAGUGGCUUACCAAGGCUUUGACGGGUAGCCGGCCUGAGAGGGUGACCGGCGACAUUGGGACUACGGGACGGCCCAGACUCGUACGGGAGGCAGCAGUGGGGAAUAUUGCACAGUGGGCGGAAGCCUGAUGCAGCAACGCCGCGUGCGGGAUGACGGCCUUCGGGGUGUAAACCGCUUUCGCCUGUGACGAAGCGUGAGUGACGGUAAUGGGUAAAGAAGCACCGGCUAACUACGUG
rnacentral:rRNA from 1 species